ACCCAGAAUGCUCAGAGAGUCAGAGGAAGGAUGAGGAUGAAGAGCAGAGGAGGAGCAGAGAGGCAUUUCUGAAGAUCACACUUCACUUCCUGAGGAGAAUGAAGCAGGACGAGCUGGCUGACCGUCUGCAGAGCAGAAGUCCAUCAGGA